AGCUGUAGAGCACAAGGGAUUCCUAGUCAAUGAAAAAUUCCAGACAAGUCUCUCUAAAACGUGCAGACAAAGGCAGACCUAUCAAGAAGAUAUUCAACAUUUGUUCUGGACCUCAGAACAAUUAUGUAUCUGUCUAAUACAUGUGUUCUACAUGGGGCGACCCUUGAAAACUGUCCAGAAGCUGCCGCUGGUGAAUAACAGGAACUUGCCUUCUGUCCAGGUUGGGUCACCAGAAGCUCAUAACUCCAGUGCUACAGAGUCUACACAGGCUCCCAAUAGCUUUCUAAGUGAAAUUCAAGGUGGUUGUAGAAGAUAACAACCCUAAACUGUUUAUCCACUUGAACAAUUCAGACCAUUGCUAAAACUGCAAAAUCUUACUGUGACUCUUCAGGAAACACCUGAACUCCUACAAAAAGCCACAGGCCCUUUUUAGGUCAAUACAGACUACAACUUCAGACAAGUAAGUAUCAUUCUAUGUAAUUUAGACAAAAGGUAUCAUUCUAUGCAAUUUAGAUAUGAUUACAAGGAAAGUCCUAAAGCAAAAAUAAAGCUCAGGAGUUUCUCCUAGUUCAUUAUUAGGGGUGUGUGAAUUGGGCCAUAUUUAAUUCAGAUUCAGCCCUAAUCAAAGAAAGU